ensembl:lncRNA
UAUCAAGCAUUUUUUUUUUCUUAAAAGAUGUUUUUUCCAGUAAUUUCUAUAAUAACCUAAAGAAUUUCUUUCCCUUGUCUAUACAAUAAUUCUUCAGGAAUCUUUGUCCCAAGACAUACUGAGGUCAAUGAGUUUCUCUUGUUUUCUCUCACAAAGGCCCAAAUGCUACAAACACCUGAGCACAGCAGAGUUUUACAGGCAGAGGGCACAUAUAAUUUUGCAAGCAUUCUGUGUGAGGUUCCUGGAUACACACAUGAUAUUUGUUUAUUUUUAUUUUUCUCUCUAAAGGAGACGGGGUACACAGGAUCCUGUUUAUGUAGAUGUUGAAAACAAAUGUAUAUUGUUAAUGGAUGUCAAACUUUAGGCUAGAAACCUUGAGAGUUUGGUCACUCCUUCUACAAAUGCAGAUGAAGGGAAAGCUCUGUAAGAAGUUUCUACAUAUUUUACUCUGGAUUUUCCUAGUUAUCAGCCCCCUUGGGAUUUGCAGUUUUGGGAAGAAGGAUGUGGUGUGGCCCUGUGGCUUCAGAGAGCCUGAGACUGCUUGAGGUGUCCUCUGGCCAGACUGGAGAUAGGACCCAUCAUCUCCUCUCCACUCCCCCAGACUUGCUGGUGGGCUGAGCAGUCACAAGUCAGUCUGCGGUCAGAGUGCUGCAGGCGUCCUGGAAUGAGUUGAGGAAAGUGAUGCUCCUGGGCAGCAGAGCUGGCUGUAAAACUCAGUUCUGCUGGGCUGUCCACAGUGUAUUUGUUUGCUCAGGUUUCUCUUCUUCCUUCUUUUCCUUAGCCACAUUAGACACAAAUGAAUAUCUUCUCAAGGAUCAUUACUAGUCUGCUUUCAGAACACACAUUUUCAACAUUUCACCUUCCCCAGCCAUCCCAUUGCCUCUUCCCCCUGAAAUAGAGGCUGCCAGCCAGCUGGGACACCGGGCCUUGUUUAUGUGUAACCUCAGCAUUUAAACAGAAUCACAGAAUCAGGGAAUCAUCUAGGUUGGAAAACAACUUCAAGGUCACCAAAUCCAACUAUCAACCUGAUAUACUGAGACCUUUUACUAAACAACGUCCCUUCGUGCCACAUCCACAUUUCUCAUAAACAACUCUGGGGAGGGGGACCCCAUCAUUUCCUUGGACAGCCCAUUCCAUUGUUUGACCACUAUGAAGAAAUUCUUCCUAAUGUCCAAUGUAAAUCUUCCGUAGUACAACUUGAGACAGUUUCCUCGUGCUUCUUUGCUUCCACACAAAACGCGGGUCUGACUGUAUCCAUUCAUUCUCUCCUUCCUCAGGACGGAACCAGAAAGGAGAAAAGAGAAUCAACAUCAAAAUUCCCAAGAAAACUAGGCAGAAUAUUUAUUUUCCUUGUAAGAUUUGUCAUGUCUGCCAUUUAUUUUUGACACCAGUCUAUUGCCAUCGUGGGAGAAGAAGCCCAUGGGUGCGGAUGGUAUAAGAGAGUGAGGCCUUAGACUGUGCAAACACAACAACAGUUGUGACAUGGAUCCACCUCCAGUGGCUAUGGGGUCCUGCAGGGUCAGAGCAGGAAGUCUUUCUGGCAUUGAUACCCUGAAGACAUCUGGGCACCUGCUCGCUUACUGCCUACUUCCACAAGCCUCAGUUAGAGGAAGAUAGACCCACAAACCACAGGAAGAAAACACACACUGGAUAGCAAUAUUUGUCCAUUUUUUGGCUUUUGCAAAGGAAGUGGAUGCAGGUGAGCACAGGCUGAAAUGCAGUUUCUAAUUUGUUUACGUUUGGUUAUUCAAGUGCAGAAGAGGCAAGGAAAAAAUUUGCUGUGCAGUUUAACACUGUUAUCCAUUAGGAAGUACAGACUGUUUAUUUCAGGGCUACCUCUCUCUGAUUUAUAACUCCCGUGUAAACUCUAUACAGACUUUACAGAACAGAGCAGUGCCAGGUUCAAGGAUUAAGAUCUUUACCACACAUUUCCAUUAAUAAAACCUUCAUAUUUGCCAGAAGCAGCCUCUAGUUUGUUUUCAUAAAAAGGAAGCACUGUAAACUUCUCCAUGGAGUUUUCACUUACAAUCUUCCUCAUUUUAUUUCUCCUUUAUCUUAAAAUAGACUGUUUCAGCUGAAAGCUGAUGGUUCCACUUUGUACAGGGAAAGCAGAGCAGAACAGCGUGAGAUGAAAUGUGGGAGCUGGUCCAGAAUGAUGCAAUGAAGAACGCGUCUUCAGCUGCAAAUUUGGAAGUAGCCAAGACAUGCAAACCACCUCUCUCCUUCAAGCUGGAAUGAAAAUGGAACUGAAAAUAUCAUUUCUGAGAGGCAUGAGCAAUAGUCUCAGGACCUGCUGUAAAAAGGGAAGUUGUUUAAAUAUACAAAGUUUGCAUUAGGAGCUGUUGGAAGGCAGACGAGCAGAAAUUACUUGCUGAUCAUGUCAUGCAUUUUUAGAGGUUCUCCUCAUUUAUCCCCAUUACAUACGCGCUCACUGAUUCUUUCAGUUGGAAGAGCUGCUUAGCCCACAGAGAUCCACGUUUCACCAUGCAUGCAUUGUAAAACCGCUAUAGGAAGAGCAUUUAGUGAAGAGUUAAUGGCUUCCUUAGAAGGAUAAUACAGUUAACAGUGGAGAGGAUGUACAGCUAAAUAUGGCCCUUAUAAAACUUAGCAGAUUCCAUUAAAAAACAGACGUGCAGGAAGUGUCAAGUUCCUAUUAGAGCUGAUUGUACACAGUUGCAUGGGAAGAAAUAAAUUUAGUGUACAGAAUUUUACAUCACAUCCUUUGAAAGCAGUGAAAUUCUCUGGGGUCCACAACUCUGUGCAUCUGGUCCACAUGCACAUAACAUACACACACAAACAAUUAACUGGUGUGCGAGGACUUUAAAGGAGAAUGCACAUCUAAAAGUCAGCGCCCACAUAUGCUGAAGUGAAUGGCAAUGUUGUGACUGGCUGCAACGGUCCCAGAUUGGAUUGCACUCAAAUCCAUGAGAGGUCCUCCUCCUCCUGAUAUUGCACUCUCCUGGGGGAGCUCCAUGUGUAUAUGAAGGAGGGAGAAACUCAUUUCUGUGCUUUGUGUGUUGGAAAAGCCAUCCCAUUCUUUUCUUUGGGUUAACUCUUAUUUCAGAAAUAAGACAAGAGCUAGUUAAAGAGUUCAUUAUUCAGUAGAUUAUUUACUAUGAGCAGAAAAUCGGAUUUGCUCUUACCCAAGUUAACUGAUUUUACGGGAUUCUACGUGUUUAUUUUGGGGAUAUUUUCAGGAAAAAUAUCUGGAGCCAGGAUCACCUAGCAUUAAAUGGUGGCUGUUCACAGGAGCCUGAAAAACCUUUCUCAGCUGUGUUUGAAAUGACCUUUUUAUUCAUUUGUGAGGACAUCAAGGAAUCAGUUUGCCUCUAUCCUCAGUCCUGCCGCCAGCAGGUAUUGCCAAGGAAAUGACCCAGACAACAUCAAGACAAAUCUAUGCUGAAGUGCAAGGUAAAAAUGCCUACCAGCAUAAAGAGCUGGACUCUGAGUAUGUUUCUGGACUCAAACCCAAGGCUUUUGUUCCCAGAAGAUUCACUUCCCAUCAGUACAUAGUGAAGCUUCAAGCCUGUGCAGUGAGGCUGUCUCAGCUGGGCUCAAGGCCUGAGGAGGAGCCUCAGGCUCCAGGCCUCUUUCUGAUGGGAGAUUCGGCUGUUCGGCAGUCCCCAGUGGGGACGAGAGUCAUGCCUGGCUUCUCACAAGGCCCUGUGGCCUCUGAGAACUGAGACAGCAAAAAUAUAAUGUUCAAAACCAAGUAUCCUUGAAAGCUGUUGGGUUGUAGCACCCUAGAAGAAUCCCCACCCUCGGGUGCCCAGUCCGUAAUGAGAAAGGCUAAAAACGCAGAUUGACAGAUCAAAGCAGCAGCCACCAUACCAUGGACAAGUACUUUGACAGAUGGCUUUGUGUGGAAUAUGGCGGCUGUCCUGCUGUGUUGGAAGAACUACGUUCAAUUUAAAUGUCUGGAUUUCCAGUCGAAAGGUUUUGUAGGAAAUAAGUAAGCAGUUUAGUGCAAGAAAUAAGCAGAAAACUCUCCGCUGUGCACAGUAUUUACAAAUCAUUUUUCGGUCGUUUGAUAUUUAAUUGAAUUUUUAUUCUUGCAUCAAGAAUAUGGAGACCAGAAGUCAAAUUAAAUGACUGAUGCCGGCCGGUAUGCACUGCUGGGGCAGAACAACUUUUUUUCUCUGAUGAAAGGUACCUAUUUCAGCUACUUUGGCAGCUCCAAAGUUCAUCUGUCAGCAUGCAGGGCUGUUUCCAUUGGCAUCUGCCGGCUUUGGAUAAGGCUUGCACAGCAAAUCCCCUAUCCACAGCAGGGCAAGGGCAGGCAGGCCUUUACAGUGAGGUUACUUCUCAACUCUAGGAGCAUGCUAUGUAAUGAGAAUUCAAAGCAGCAGCAGAACAUUAUUGAACAGCACGCCUAACACACUGCUAUUACUUACCAUCUGGUAAAAAUUAAAUUUCAUUAAUAAAUAUUAUUAUUUACUGUGGAUUUCAGGAGCCUGUGGGAGCCACAGGAAAAUCUAUCCGAGCAGCAGCAAGUUCUCUGAUGGUCUUCAUAAUGGCCUCUUUACAAAGUCUAAAUAAUUUUCCUGUUCAGUACUAUCCAAGCAACAAAAAUGUUCAGAGCAGGAAUAUAUAUUUCAUUCUGUACAGUGUUUCUUAGAGAAUUCAUCAGCUGAAUUUAUCUGGUGAGCACAGAACAUCAUCAUAUUAAAAGGAUGACCCCCUCCGCUACACCAGCUAACCCAUGUUGCUUUGUGUGACAUCAGUGGAUUAGAAAUGUUGCUUUUAUCCACUAACAACAGCAUCAAGCUUCUAAUGGGCAGUUUUGUUGUCACAAGCAGCACUGGUAAUUCCCUUCUUAUAAGCCCAAACAAAAGGAGUGGAGUCCCCAGCAUGUCUUGUCACAUCCUUUUUCCGACUGUGCCAAAGUGCUUGAGCUAACAGCCACCUACGUGUGACUCUAGCAUAGUUUAUCCUGAGCUGGAGGGAUACAUUUACGUCUGUACAUAUAUAUGAAUAUAGGCAUGUUGUAAAGGUGUUGCUUGGAAACUAUUCACAGCAACAGGAUGGGCACGGAUCUGCUUCUAUGGAGUCUGACUUGUAUUACCCAGUGGGGUAACUCCGGCUGCUGCACAACAGGACAAGUGUCUGUGUGGUUCCUGUAAGGGUGUCACCAUCCAGCCCUCCUUCCCUAACCAGGAAACCACCCGCAGUGCUGUUAGCAAAGAAAAGUAUGAUCACAUCCAAAAAAAAACCCACUUGUCAUUCACCCUAUUUGCCCAAGAUGACAAUGAGGGCUCAGGAGUUUCUUGUCUCUUCCAUCUGUGUUUCUGGUGAAAAUCAGCCUCCUGGUCCAGUGGCAGGGAGCAGCUGCCCAAGUGCUUGGCGGUGCUGCUGCCCUCUGUAGUCCCUGAUUAGAGCUUGAACCUGAGAGGAUUCCUUGUUGUCAUCAGAGAGAUUGAUCAUCAGCUCCGUUCUGCAAUGUCACAUCACAUCAGGUUCUCAGACACAAUGAGACCAGUGGCCACAACUGUCUCUGAAGUCUUCUGAAGCAGAGUGAUUGUCUCAGCAGUUUUUUCCCCUCUCAGGGUCUGGAGUUUAGACAUAGGAUCAUAAGGGUUGGAAAAGGGCUGUUUUGCUAAGAACAAUCUUAUUAAAGCCAGGUCUUGGCUAUGCCUUGGACACCCACAGUUGGCCAGGAAGUGCUAGGUGGUGUCCUGCCCUGAAAGGUCACAAGAAGGGCUCAUAAACUGUGCCCAUGACCAGCUAGGAACCAGCCACAGGGGAGAGGGAAGAUAUUGACCAGAGCAGUUGUUACUGAGGCAAUAUAAAGCAAACUGCCCACCUGAGCACACCUGUGAAGUGAACUGAGGAGGAGAAGGAGGUCCUGCACCCAUCAACACAUCAGGAGGAAGAUAGUGGGCAAAAGAUGUGGAGGGUACAGCCCAGACUAAUUGCUGGUGGCAUCCACCCAUAAUGCGGGUCAACCCUAGCCCUGAUUUUCUCAAAACAGGCUUAAUAAUGAUUAACUUCAGGCUGGAUGAGGAGAAAAUAAAUGUUAACUAACAACCUUGAUUUCCUAGUGCACACAACACCAGCUUUUUUUUUAUGUUGGCUCCUCUCGCCUUUUUCUAUUUGCCUGGGAAACACCGACCCCAUGCAUUGCCCCCUUUCUUCAGCUUUAUACUGAGGGAAUGACGGGAAAUCAGGAGUGAUGAAUCAGUGAUGCAAAGCAAAGCUUACAACCCGCAAGCAUCAGUGGGUAUGCAGCCACGCUGAUGGAGCUGCAGAUCCUUUUCUUCCUCUUACCUUAUGAAUUAAUUUGCCAUCAUGUCAGUCCAAUUGUAACUAAACUGGCUUCUUUUCUUCCGUUUUUUAUGAUGCACUCUGCAGUGCUACGCUUAGCCUGAAGGUUUCAAAUGGCAUGUAAAUGGAUAUUGCCCUGCAAGCUGCAUUCUGCCAUACAAUCACAACCGUCUCCUAAGUCUUAAAAGCCAGAGCAUGAUGUGAAUUACAGGCUUUUCUUCUCCAUGUGGGGCUCAUAGCUUAUAGUCCUAAAUUACAUUUUGUCAGCUUGUUAACAAAGCAAGAUAGAAGACCAUUAAAAAUAAGCUGCCGUUAUGUAAGUGUUCACGAGUGUCUAAAUAUUAAUGUCAGGGCUCCGUAUUAUGGAAGUGCUCUAAAUAAUCCCUUUUAGCCUUUGUAGUUUAAUCUUUAUUCAUAUUUCAUCCAUUAGUUACCUUUAAAUAGCAUGGUUCUUUUGAUAACUAAGAGGCUGUGAAUAACACUCGCUGAAAUUACAAUAUCCCUGUCUUUCAGUGCCACAGUCAAAAAUGACUGUAUUGCUGGGGCCGUGUUGUCUUUGGUAUUUCAAUUGCAAAUGAACUGUGCAACCUGCAGCAGUUUAAACAAAAAAAAAAUGCAAACAUCCUGGUGCCCACCUCCUUCCUCCAUCCACCAUCUGCAGCAGUACCGAAAUCUCAGCCCACUGCCAUUGUCAGCGCUUAACUCACACCACUACAACACCCCAUGUUAUUUACUGGUUUCCAAAACUUACCACCAAAAUGCUACCUUGAUGAUGCCAAGGUGAUGAGAUAAAAUGAUAAAAAGCAGGAAUUAAAAGCUUCCACGCUGUGCCUCACUAGCUGCCGCUGUCCACAACCGAUCUAUUGUGUCGGGGAAUUGCAGGGGUUGGCUGGAGGCCACAGCAAUGUGCUCUGUGUUUGCUGUAAUAUCCAGAGGCGGGAGAGGAGACAUUCAUUUAUUUUAUUUGCUCUCAGUAUGGUACGAUCCCUGCCCUACCAGGGCUUUCAUCUAGAAAGCACACAAGCAAUAGCGGA